GAUGAACGCUAGCUACAGGCUUAACACAUGCAAGUCGAGGGGCAUCAGUUUGGUUUGCUUGCAAACCAAAGCUGGCGACCGGCGCACGGGUGAGUAAACACGUAUCCAACCUGCCUCAUACUCGGGGAUAGCCUUUCGAAAGAAAGAUUAAUAUCCGAUAGCAUAUAUUUCCCGCAUGGGUUUAUAUUAAAGGAUUCCGGUAAAGGAUGGGGAUGCGUUCCAUUAGGUUGUUGGUGAGGUAACGGCUCACCAAAGCCUUCGAUGGAUAGGGGUUCUGAGAGGAAGGUCCCCCACAUUGGAACUGAGACACGGGUCCAAACUCCUACGGGAGGCAGCAGUGAGGAAUAUUGGUCAAUGGCGCUAGCCUGAACCAGCCAAAGUAGCGUGAA
rnacentral:rRNA from 1 species